GUAUUGUGGUUCGAUUAUCGCUCCCUCGCUAUAUUGCGUAUUUUUUCAUAAAUUAGUUAAUACAUGAUCGCUGUUUUGUGGUAGACUAUGGUCUAUUACAAGUCAAAACAUAUGGAAAUACAAGUGAAAUACAAGUAUUCUGGUCACUAGGCGGCUGUAAUGUCACAUUACAUUACUUCACUUUGCACUCGAUGUAGCCAGCCGUGGGUGCAGAGUGAAAAAAGGUUCUCCUCCCAUUCCAUGUGGAAGUGGAACACAGGUGUACUUUGUUGUGUUCGUGUCGUGCCGGUUUAUAUCGAUUAUCCCUGCAGGACGGGCUAACUACUUUUCUACAUAGCAACUGAGGUAUGGAAAGUUCCAUGCAUCCAUCUGCUGGAAAUGCUGCCUGAUGUGUGCAGGCUAACGCCGGCUGACAUCAGACAGAAAGCGAGUUUUGGAGAAGACAUAAAGUACAGCAAUAUGCCGCUCUGUUUCCUAUCUGAAUUUCGUCAAGAGGUAUGUACAGUAUAUUUCCACCUUAGCAGCCUUUACCUCAUAUAGUCGUUUCUCCAUUGUACAACAUUGUGUAUCACGACAGAGGCGAUAAUAGGACUAGCUGGAUUUUACAGACUUUGUCAUUUCUACAUAUGUCAAAUGUAUUAAUCCCAAUAAAAUCAGAGCUACUACGUGAGUGGAGGUGGUGGAGGAAACAGGGCAGAUGAAUUUUGGGGGAUCCCACGCACUGGGAAUAACCGAAGGAGAUGAUAAAUGCACUCAUAGUGGCACGCACACAUAAACACAUAGUUCGCAGGGGUCCUGGGAGGUUGGCUGUAGAACAGACCACAACACACGCACUAUGCAGAGGAGUAGGAGGAGGCCUCGACGACUUGAAAGA